AUGCAAAUAUUUGGCGUGGGAUGGCAAGACCCUAUGCAAAGCACCAGCCAGGAGGUUAGCACAGGUUUUAGUCAGACUUUCUUUUCUUUCCUGCAAGGGCUUGAGAAGCAGCCUCAGCCAGGGGAUGCUGCCCAACAAGACAGGCACUGCACAAGUAAUCCUCCCACCUACUUAAAAAAGAGAAAUGCUCUGCACUGGAGGUGCAGCCUCCAGGCAGAUCUGACCUGUCCAGGAGAUGGACUUGGAUCAUCACAACUGAAAAUACUGCAGCUGAGCUGUUCUCAAAGUGCACAUAGGCCAUCAGCUUUGGCUACCUGGAAAAGGACACAUAGACCAGACCUAGUGUCAUGGUUUUAUGAUUUUCGGUUAUUGGUACUCCACAUCAUAACAUCAUGUAGUGAAUGUACCUGGUUCUCAGAAGAGAAGGACUACUACAUUCCCCAUGGCACUUUGCUCCUCUGUUAUCAUUUUCCAGCUGGAGGGAAAAGAUAAAAGCUCGCAGUAUAAAAACUUGCAGAUCACAAGACCUUGUCCCUUUUUCCUCCGUCUCUCGUCUUGGCAGCACCUCGCUCUCCAGCUGUCUUAUCAUCGGUAGUAGAGUAAGGCCUACCUUGAUUUUGGGACAUUCUCUCUCUCUGUAUUGGAUUUAUCAGCUUAAAUUGUAAUUAUAUUGUAUUAUAGUGUGUUGUUUUGCAUUCCAAUAUCUUAUUUAGUAAAUUAGUUUGUUUCUCCUCAGAUUGUUGCUGCUGUUCUUUGCUCUCAGGGCCAUCUCCUUACCCUUUUUUCCCUUUUCCCUUUUCCUGGGGCGUGGACCCAUGGAUCCCCCAUCCCCUUUGUCACAGAACCUGGCCGAAUGCCCAUAAACCGUUGACACCUAGAAAGACGCAGGCUGCAGCGAUUAUGUUUGAUGAUGGGCGGCCUUGUAUGGCCACUUGGAUCUCAGACAUCUCCUGCAGGUGUUGUCUGACACUCAUCUUCCCUGCACAAUAUUAUUUGCUUUUUCCAGGGUGCCCAUAGCCUCAGGGACACUCUGAGUGGGACCUUGCAGUCCUCUGGACACAUUUUUCUUCUCCACUUCUGCCUCUCUAGCGCACAGAUUCCAUUGUUUAAUCUUUUUUCCACUUUGGGACCAACCAAAGCAUAUUUCAUUCUGCUGAUCUCCUUUUCCACUGCUGAUCUUCUACAUUAUCCCCUUAGCAUGAUGCGUUUUGGAGGCAGGAUACAUCGUUACCUUGUGGUACACUAGGGCUUUCUUACUGCACUUUGUUCCCCAUUUAACAGCACUUUCAUUACCAAGGUAAUACUUUCACUGAUGAGGAUGUCUGUGCUAAGAGCGUGGGAAGCAUGGCCCUGGACCCCGCACAGGGCAUCAACACAGAGCAGACCCCCUGCUGCUUCUGAGGCUGAGUGCAAGAGUGAAAGAAUUUAAUUGCCAGCAUUUAUGGGAAAUUGCUGAGCACAAGCCCAGCUGUGGUAAAUGUCAGAGUAUGCA
rnacentral:lncRNA from 1 species